AUUGAACGCUGGCGGCAUGCCUUACACAUGCAAGUCGAACGGUAACGGGCCUUCGGGUGCCGACGAGUGGCGAACGGGUGAGAAAUACAUCGGAACGUGCCCGAUCGUGGGGGAUAACGAGGCGAAAGCUUUGCUAAUACCGCAUACGAUCUACGGAUGAAAGCAGGGGACCGCAAGGCCUUGCGCGGACGGAGCGGCCGAUGGCAGAUUAGGUAGUUGGUGGGAUAAAAGCUUACCAAGCCGACGAUCUGUAGCUGGUCUGAGAGGAUGAUCAGCCACACUGGGACUGAGACACGGCCCAGACUCCUACGGGAGGCAGCAGUGGGGAAUUUUGGACAAUGGGCGCAAGCCUGAUCCAGCCAUGCCGCGUGCAGGAUGAAGGCCUUCGGGUUGUAAACUGCUUUUGUACGGAACGAAAAGCCUUCUUUUAAUACAGGAGGGUCAUGACGGUACCGUAAGAAUAAGCACCGGCUAACUACGUG
rnacentral:rRNA from 1 species